UACGGAAGGUGCAAGCGUUAAUCGGAAUUACUGGGCGUAAAGGGCGCGUAGGCGGCCUGAUAAGUCGGGGGUGAAAUCCUGCGGCUUAACCGCAGGGCUGCCUUCUAAACUGUCAGGCUAGAGCACAGUAGAGGCAGGUGGAAUUCCCGGUGUAGCGGUGGAAUGCGUAGAGAUCGGGAAGAACAUCAGUGGCGAAGGCGGUCUGCUGGGCCGUUGCUGACGCUGAGGCGCGACAGCGUGGGGAGCAAACAGG
rnacentral:rRNA from 1 species